rnacentral:rRNA from 1 species
CCUACGGGAGGCUGCAGUAGGGAAUAUUGCUCAAUGGGGGAAACCCUGAAGCAGCAACGCCGCGUGGAGGAUGAAGGUUUUCGGAUUGUAAACUCCUUUUGUUAGAGAAGAUAAUGACGGUAUCUAACGAAUAAGCACCGGCUAACUCCGUGCCGGCAGCCGCGGUAAGACGGAGGGUGCAAGCGUUACUCGGAAUCACUGGGCGUAAAGAGCGCGUAGGCGGGAUAGCAAGUCAGAUGUGAAAUCCUAGGGCUUAACCAUAGAACUGCAUUUGAAACUGUUAUUCUAGAGUAUGGGAGAGGUAGGUGGAAUGCUUGGUGUAGGGGUAAAAUCCGUAGAGAUCAAGAGGAAUACUCAUUGCGAAGGCGACCUGCUAGAACAUAACUGACGCUGAUGCGCGAAAGCGUGGGGAGCAAACAGGAUUAGAUACCCCGGUAGUC